rnacentral:rRNA from 1 species
GACGAACGCUGGCGGCGUGCUUAACACAUGCAAGUCGAACGGAAAGGCCCUGCUUUUGUGGGGUGCUCGAGUGGCGAACGGGUGAGUAACACGUGAGUAACCUGCCCUUGACUUUGGGAUAACUUCAGGAAACUGGGGCUAAUACCGGAUAGGAGCUCCUGCUGCAUGGUGGGGGUUGGAAAGUUUCGGCGGUUGGGGAUGGACUCGCGGCUUAUCAGCUUGUUGGUGGGGUAGUGGCUUACCAAGGCUUUGACGGGUAGCCGGCCUGAGAGGGUGACCGGCCACAUUGGGACUGAGAUGCGGCCCGGACUCCUACGGGAGGCAGCAGUGGGGAAUAUUGCACGAUGGGCGGAGGCCUGAUGCAGCAACGCCGCGUGCGGGAUGACGGCCUUCGGGUUGUAAACCGCUUUCGCCUGUGACGAAGCGUGAGUGACGGUAAUGGGUAAAGAAGCACCGGCUAACUACGUG